rnacentral:misc_RNA from 1 species
GAAAUGCGAUAAGUAAUGUGAAUUGCAGAAUUCAGUGAAUCAUCGAAUCUUUGAACGCACAUUGCGCUCGCCAGUAUUCUGGCGAGCAUGCCUGUUCGAGCGUCAUUUCAACCAUCAAGCUCUGCUUGCGUCGGGGAUCCGCGGCUGCCCGCGGUCCCUCAAAAACAGUGGCGGGCUCGCUAGUCACACCGAGCGUAGUAACUCUACAUCGCUAUGGUCGUGCGGCGGGUUCUUGCCGUAAAACCCCCAAUUUCUAAGGUUGACCUCGGAUCAGGUAGGAAUACCCGCUGAACUUAAGC